rnacentral:rRNA from 1 species
AUGCUAAUAGAGCUAUUUCAAGGUGUGGCAGUUGAUGGAUCAUCAGCUUAUGUGCCCAUAGAUGAAGAUGAAGAAGAAGAUGUUGUUGCCGAUGAUGGAAAUGAGGAGAGUCCAAUGAGCACCACCAGCAGGAAGAGGGGAAGCAGCUGCGGUGAACAGUCAGCUUCAAGCCCAGGCAAGAAACACAAGAGCCCAAUGGUGAAACUAAUGACAGGGCUCAUCAAUACUAUGACUAGUGAGAACACUUCUGACAUGAUCACUGAAUAUGCAAACAAAAGACAGGAAGCAAAGGACAAGGCAAAAGAGAAGAAAGCAAACAACACUAAGGAAUCCAUUACUCAUUGUCAGCAAUGUGGUGCAGAAGAAACAAGUGUUGAGUACUUCAUGGCAACUCAACUGUUUGCAGAUGAGGCAAACAGAGUCAUAUUUCAGAACAUUUCAAGUGAUCAGGCUAGACUGACUUGGUUGAAGAGGUGGUGCAUGAUGAAGAAGUUGUCCUAG